rnacentral:rRNA from 1 species
AGCGAACGCUGGCGGCAGGCUUAACACAUGCAAGUCGAGCGGGCGUAGCAAUACGUCAGCGGCAGACGGGUGAGUAACGCGUGGGAACGUACCUUUGGUUCGGAACAACACAGGGAAACUUGUGCUAAUACCGGAUAAGCCCUUACGGGGAAAGAUUUAUCGCCGAAAGAUCGGCCCGCGUCUGAUUAGCUAGUUGGUGUGGUAACGGCGCACCAAGGCGACGAUCAGUAGCUGGCUGAGAGGAUGAUCAGCCACAUUGGGACUGAGACACGGCCCAAACUCCUACGGGAGGCAGCAGUGGGGAAUAUUGGACAAUGGGCGCAAGCCUGAUCCAGCCAUGCCGCGUGAGUGAUGAAGGCCCUAGGGUUGUAAAGCUCUUUGUGCGGGAAGAUAAUGACGGUACCGCAAGAAUAAGCCCCGGCUAACUUCGUGCCAGCCGCCGCAGU